GGUAAGGUGGCCGAAGUAGGUGCCGAGUUGUAGCCUCGGUCAUAAAGGUCAAUUCCUUUCCUUAUCA
rnacentral:tRNA from 1 species